UGGGGAAUAUUGCACAAUGGGCGCAAGCCUGAUGCAGCAACGCCGCGUGAACGAUGAAGGUCUUCGGAUCGUAAAGUUCUGUUGCAGGGGAAGAUAAUGACGGUACCCUGUGAGGAAGCCCCGGCUAACUACGUGCCAGCAGCCGCGGUAAUACGUAGGGGGCUAGCGUUAUCCGGAUUUACUGGGCGUAAAGGGUGCGUAGGUGGUCCUUCAAGUCGGUGGUUAAAGGCUACGGCUCAACCGUAGUAAGCCGCCGAAACUGGAGGACUUGAGUGCAGGAGAGGAAAGUGGAAUUCCCAGUGUAGCGGUGAAAUGCGUAGAUAUUGGGAGGAACACCAGUAGCGAAGGCGGCUUUCUGGACUGCAACUGACACUGAGGCACGAAAGAGUGGGUAGCAAACAGG
rnacentral:rRNA from 1 species